GCCGCGGGCAGAGGCGGAGGUGGGGGAGGAGGGGAGGUUGAGGCACACAGCCCGUGAGACUCGUCUGCCCAGGUGUCUGGUCCUUCUGCCUCUCAGCCGCCACUGGUCCUUCCUUUCCCGGCGCCCCAGGCUGCAAACCAAGGUGGCUCGGCUGACGUCUUUCUUCAUACCCACGUAGACGCACAUCACUGGGACCGGCCCCUCCUCCUGGGGCCACCUCUGCACCCGAGGGCCCAGUGUGUCCUGUGCUCACGUCCAUUCAUCCGCGGCAUUUCCUAGUUUCCCUGUGACCCCUGUGCCCCCAGCUGCUGGGGAGGGCGUUGUGUCCCACGCUGGGGACGCCCCUGCUUUGUGGGGUGGGGGGCCACGGCCAGGACUGGCCCCAGCAGCAGAGGCGCACGCAGCACGUCAGAGACGGUCACGUUCAAACGCAGAGCGUCCUCAGUGAGCGUGAGAAUUGUAACGUCAGUGGGAGUGGGGGUCUUGCCCGUAAUCCCAGUUUUCCGCGUAUGGAUUGUGAGUUUCUGAACGCGUUUCUGCACGAAUUUAAAGUGCCGUCAGAUAGGGGUGGCAGCACCGGGCUCGGGUGUGGUGGCUGCGGCCGCAGGGCUGGCGCUGGCCCCGCUCUGUGGCCUCCUGACGUCCCUCGUCUGACCGAGGACAGUACAGGCCACGCCGUGCGAGAACGUUCUCGUCGCAGUAAUGCUGCCCAGGCUCCUCCCCUGAGAGGUCGGGAUUGGGGGGGGGGGGGGACUCCCCGGUGCUCCAACACUCCCUCCAGUCACGGUGGCAGCACGGCGUGUGGGGUGGGCCCUUGGGGUCCCUCUGAGAAAUGACAGUUGUAACCAGCGUGCGCUUGUCCACAGGACACACGCGGGCCGCAAAUCCUCACUGCCCAUCGUGCAGACAGGAGGAGCCUCCCAGCCGGGUCCUGGAACAUCCCCAGAAACGGGGGCACAGCCUGGUGCCUGCACUCGGGGCGCGGGGCAGGACCCGGCCUAUGGAUCGCAGACCCUCCUCUGCCGGUAGUAACCACAGGCGCCUGCUUGGAAACCCCGCGUGAGAACUUGCUUCCGGCUGAUUCCUGGGAGCGCACGGCCGUCUCGGGGCAUCUGGGGCAGAAGGGCACCCUGGAAACGACACGGCCCGGGCCUUCCCAUCCGGCAGGAAGCGAGCUGCUUCUGAACACUCAGAGCCGCGUGUCACACACACGUGUGCUGCCCCUUUGUGGGACGGGACACAAGACAGUAGACCUGCAGUUUGCUGACCGGGGCAUUCGAGGCUUCAAAAUGGUUUCGUGUUCCCCAAAUCGCUCCCGAGGCUGUUUUCCACGUCAGGGCCCGUCUGGCGUGUGGUCCAGUGACACUCAAGGGCAGACAAAUAAAUCCUCCCCUGACAA